GUUUAGUUCUGUGCAUGAGAGAGUGGUUCAAAGACUUUCGGUGUGACAGUAAACAAACUCAUCGAAUGAUAUCAUCAAGAGGAUAGUGUUUGGAACUUACGCAGGAGCAAUAACCUCUGAGAGUCGACUGACGCCAUGGCAGGGCAUCUGAUUUCGAUGAAGACUCCUACUGCAAACAGGGAAAAAGGGAAGAAGGUGCGAUAAUACUGGACGGUUUGACAAGGAACGGAAGAAAACGGCAAAUGAGGAAUAACCAAGACGAGCUAGAAGAUUGGUCAGAAGAUUGGUUAACCAGAAGGAAGCUACAUUUUAUUUACGCGCAAUUACAUCCUGACUAAUCGUCCGCCGUGUAGUACAUUCGGGACCCUAAUUUCUUUCUUCUCUUUUUUUUUUAUUUGCUUUUUCGUACCACUCCGACAAACCCAUAUCCGAACAGUCUCCGCAAGUCAGCCAUCGCAUACGACUUUUUUGUUGUCUUUUUAUUUUUGUUUUUUUUUCGUGAGUUUAUGGUUCGACAGAGGGAGAAACCAUUAGCUGCCCUCGGGCCUCCCAUCUCGCGUGAAGUUAAUCGAAAAGUAUCGAUCGUGGUUAAAGUGAAAAAAAAAAAAUUCUUUUAAUGGAUUUAUCGUGUCUGUGUGCCUGGAAAUUAAUAACAAACAAAUGGACGUAUAGGAUUUCAUAUGGUGCCGUUGUUGCAGCG